rnacentral:rRNA from 1 species
UACGUAGGGGGCAAGCGUUGUCCGGAAUCAUUGGGCGUAAAGAGCGUGUAGGCGGUCCGGUAAGUCGGCUGUGAAAGUCCAGGGCUCAACCCUGGGAUGCCGGUCGAUACUGCCGGACUAGAGUUCGGAAGAGGCGAGUGGAAUUCCCGGUGUAGCGGUGAAAUGCGCAGAUAUCGGGAGGAACACCUAUGGCGAAGGCAGCUCGCUGGGACGUUUACUGACGCUGGAGACGCGGAAAGCCGUGGGGAGCGAACAGG